GAUGAACGCUGGCGGCGCGCCUAACACAUGCAAGUCGAACGAUUAAAGCACCUUCGGGUGUGUAUAAAGUGGCGAACGGCUGAGUAACACGUGGGCAACCUGCCCCUCUCAUUGGGAUAGCCACGGGAAACCGUGGAUAAUACCGAAUACUUCGGGACUUCCGCAUGGAAGACUCGAGAAAGCUCCGGCGGAGAGGGAUGGGCCCGCGGCCUGUUAGCUUGUUGGUGGGGUAAUGGCCUACCAAGGCAAUGAUGGGUAGCUGGGUUGAGAGACCGACCAGCCAGAUUGGGACUGAGACACGGCCCAGACUCCUACGGGAGGCAGCAGUGGGGAAUCUUGCACAAUGGGCGAAAGCCUGAUGCAGCGACGCCGCGUGCGGGAUGAAGGCCUUCGGGUUGUAAACAGCUUUCAGCAGGGACGAGGCGAAAGUGACGGUACCUGCAGAAGAAGCCCCGGCUAACUACGUG
rnacentral:rRNA from 1 species